rnacentral:rRNA from 1 species
AGUGAACGCUGGCGGUAGGCCUAACACAUGCAAGUCGAACGGCAGCACAGUAAGAGCUUGCUCUUACGGGUGGCGAGUGGCGGACGGGUGAGGAAUACAUCGGAAUCUACUUUUUCGUGGGGGAUAACGUAGGGAAACUUACGCUAAUACCGCAUACGAACUACGGGUGAAAGCAUGGGAUCUUCGGACCUCGCGCGAUCGAAUGAGCCGAUGUCGGAUUAGCUAGUUGGCGGGGUAAAGGCCCACCAAGGCGACGAUCCGUAGCUGGUCUGAGAGGAUGAUCAGCCACACUGGAACUGAGACACGGUCCAGACUCCUACGGGAGGCAGCAGUGGGGAAUAUUGGACAAUGGGCGCAAGCCUGAUCCAGCCAUGCCGCGUGGGUGAAGAAGGCCUUCGGGUUGUAAAGCCCUUUUGUUGGGAAAGAAAAGCAGCAGGUUAAUACCCCGCUGUUCUGACGGUACCCAAAGAAUAAGCACCGGCUAACUUCGUG